rnacentral:tRNA from 1 species
GAAGGUAUAGCUCAGUGGUAGAGUUCAUGCCUAGCAUGCAGAAGGUCCUGGGUUCCAUCUCAGUUACCUCCA